CAAGUCGAACGAGUGAGAGAGAGCUUGCUUUCUCGAGCGAGUGGCGAACGGGUGAGUAACGCGUGAGGAACCUGCCUCAAAGAGGGGGACAACAGUUGGAAACGACUGCUAAUACCGCAUAAGCCCACGGCUCGGCAUCGAGCAGAGGGAAAAGGAGCAAUCCGCUUUGAGAUGGCCUCGCGUCCGAUUAGCUAGUUGGUGAGGUAACGGCCCACCAAGGCGACGAUCGGUAGCCGGACUGAGAGGUUGAACGGCCACAUUGGGACUGAGACACGGCCCAGACUCCUACGGGAGGCAGCAGUGGGGAAUAUUGCACAAUGGGGGAAACCCUGAUGCAGCGACGCCGCGUGGAGGAAGAAGGUCUUCGGAUUGUAAACUCCUGUUGUUGAGGAAGAUAAUGACGGUACUCAACAAGGAAGUGACGGCUAACUACGUGCCAGCAGCCGCGGUAAAACGUAGGUCACAAGCGUUGUCCGGAAUUACUGGGUGUAAAGGGAGCGCA
rnacentral:rRNA from 1 species